AACCUGAAGGAGAACAUAGUCUUUGAACAAUACAAAGUCCAGGUAUUGAGCAAGAGAAUUCCCCAGAGGCUGACUAGAAGCCAUUGAACACGAUUCAACAAUGGACAACUGGCUUUAAAGAGAUAAAUAACAACUGACUACAUAACCAAGCCUGGUUAAAUACCAAGAUACUCUUGUUUUAGUGCCACUCAGAGAAAUGGCCUCUCAAUUACGACACCAUAAAGGCAGAGGGUCAAACCCCCAGGGAUACCGAAGAUCCCUGCGCCUACAAGGAAGGUUCUCUUGGGCCAAAUAACAGCCCUGGCGAACCCCGCAUGUCAGAGGGGAGCGUCCUGCCGCGUUCCCAGCGCCACGGGAGUGUCCAGGCAGUGUAACAAUCAGGGCAUCGCUGGUCAGACCAACCACAGCAUCCUGCUGCCCUUGAAAGCCAUUUAUUCUCGCCAAAAAAAAGGAUAAAAAAGUUGGUUGGAAACCUCAUGGCCAGUGCUGCUGCAAAGUCAGCUGGUUAGGUGAGAUGGCUACACCCAAGGAACAGAAAUAAUCAUACAUAUUACAAUACAAAAUUUCCCAGAGACUUUAUUUCAUUUAUGGACUUCUCCUUCAGUCUCAGCAAGGCCUUCUUCAGUCAAAGGCACUCUCAGAUUCAAUGACAGUCUGUUUUGUUUGCUAUCAUAAAAAACCCCAACUUUUUAGUUUGAGUAACCACUGGAAUUUAUUUAGCCUAAGUUGUAACCACAUGCCAAAUACUUUCUCUACUUCUAUAUUUAUCAUAUAUGUUAAGCUUAAGUCCUCACUGCUACCCCCCAGCACCCACAAAAAUGUCUGCUUUGCUUGGCUUAUAAAGGAAAAAGAUCCUUUUAAGGAAAGACGCUUUUGUAAGAGAUAACGCUUGUUUUUACCAUAU